rnacentral:misc_RNA from 1 species
GUUAAUUACCACUAAAGCCGCUAGAGGAUCCGCUAGAUAACAGUGGAAAUGCAAAUUUGCAGUUUUUCUUGAAUGUUUAUUGUCUUUAAGAUCUACAAACAUUCUCAUUUCUAUGUAAAUCUUUUCAAAAUUGCGAAUGUGUUAAAUUUCAAUAUCUCUGCUAUGAUAGUCAAAGAUCAACUGACAAAUAUAAGAUAUGUAUUCUUAUGUUUAAAUAUGAGCUUUAAGCACGCUUGCAUUACAUUGGCACUUAA